rnacentral:siRNA from 1 species
ACUAGAUUCUUAAGUGAGGGAUAC